GCCAUAUCACCUUGAAACACCAGUUCUUGCCUGAUCACUGAAGUUAACCAACAUUGUGCUUGGUCAGUACCUAGAUGAGUAACCACUUGUGAAUACCAGGUCCUGUAAG